AAAGUCGUAACAAGGUUUCCGUAGGUGAACCUGCGGAAGGAUCAUUAUCAUCGGCAGUUUACUGCUGUUUGAGAGGGGUAGAAACUUCUCAGGCCCCCUGAGAAGGAGUAUAUCUCUUUUCUUAACCCUUGACGUUUUGUGUACCUAUGUUUCCUCGGCAGGCUUGCUUGCCGGUUGGACAAUAAUAUAACCUCUUAUUCUUUAUUCAGCGUCUGAUUAUAUAUAAUAAUUACAACUUUCAACAACGGAUCUCUUGGUUCUG
rnacentral:misc_RNA from 1 species